UGCGGUUCAUAAAAGGAUUUGCGUCUUGCUUCAUGGGUUUAAUGGUUUGGUACCUGUGGCAAAGGACUCUCAACUGUUAAGGUCGGGCAAAAUUCUUUUUUUUUUACCAAAAAGUUGAGAAAUGGGAGUAGUGUUCGGCUUGUUCUGUGUCUUCACCAGAUUUGAUGAUCCAAUCUUGCGCAAAUCGGGAGAAAGAAAAGACGGAUUCAGAGAGCUGUGACAAAAAUACUGUGGUGCGCGUUUUGUCGCUACCGUCUUUUCUCUGUCGUUUUGUAAACGGUUGGAUCAAACAAGUUUGGCAGGCUCUGAACAUGUCGAACACCAUCUGGUUUUGUGUGAAAAAAAAAUUAUGUAUUUUGCACGGUUCAGGGGAUUUGCAGUAGAUGCCAUGGAUUAAUCACCCCAAAGAGGCAAAGAGGACGCAUAUUUCUCUGAUACCGUCAUGACUGAUGACUCACGACCUUCAAUUUUAAGGUUCCGCAUGUCUUCUGGAUAGGAAAGAGGACCAUCAAUGUCAGCCCAUCAAUGAAAUCUCAACUAGAUGGGCUGACCGUAUCCGGCCUGCUCAACUGUACUGAAGCAGGCCAAAGUCUAGGUCUGUCUAUUGAGCCUGUUACCCUGACUAUUUGGGCAGUAUUUGCUGGACUGCAUCCGCAUGUAUGCUCUAUUGAGCCCCACCCAUCAUCUACUGAGUGAGGACUUUUCUGGGCUUGAUUUCAUUUACGGUUCAGGCCGUGUCCUUGGCUGUUUAUGUCAUCUGUGUCCCCUAUUAGCUGUUUUAGAUCAUUUUGUGGGAAUGUUCAAUAAUCUACUUAGUGACAUUUGAGUAUCCUUUGUAGCGCUAGUGUUACAUCUGCAGUCUGUCUAGCGGGAGAGGCGACAGUGUAGACUAGCAAAACAAGGGAGUCAAACCUCACUGUCUAAAAGAGAGUGCAAAAGCGUAGAAAUGCUCUCGUUUCCUAUCAGAGAAUAAGUCAAACAUACAUGGAGCAACAAUCAGGCAAGCACAUAGAAAAGCCACUUGGUGCAUGUUGGCUUUAUCCUCCCAAUUUAUCCUUGGACCUCUUUUUGCUUGUCUUUCAUGAAGCAACAAGAGAAGGCCCCCGGCCUA